rnacentral:rRNA from 1 species
UGGGGAAUCUUGCGCAAUGGGCGAAAGCCUGACGCAGCAACGCCGCGUGUGUGAUGAAGGUCUUCGGAUCGUAAAGCACUGUCGCGAGGGACGAAUAAGGGGCGGGCUAACAUCCCGUUCCGAUGACGGUACCUCGAGAGGAAGCACCGGCUAACUCUGUGCCAGCAGCCGCGGUAAUACAGAGGGUGCAAGCGUUGUUCGGAAUUAUUGGGCGUAAAGCGCGUGUAGGCGGCUUGGCAAGUUGGGUGUGAAAGCCCUCGGCUUAACCGAGGAAGAGCGCCCAAAACUACCUGGCUUGAGUACCGGAGAGGGUGGCGGAAUUCCCGGUGUAGAGGUGAAAUUCGUAGAUAUCGGGAGGAACACCAGUGGCGAAGGCGGCCACCUGGACGGUAACUGACGCUGAGACGCGAAAGCGUGGGGAGCAAACAGG